CCUACGGGAGGCAGCAGUCGAGAAUCAUUCACAAUGGGGGAAACCCUGAUGGUGCGACGCCGCGUGGGGGAAUGAAGGUCUUCGGAUUGUAAACCCCUGUCAUGUGGGAGCAAAUUAAAAAGAUAGUACCACAAGAGGAAGAGACGGCUAACUCUGUGCCAGCAGCCGCGGUAAUACAGAGGUCUCAAGCGUUGUUCGGAAUCACUGGGCGGAAAGCGUGCGUAGGCUGUUUCGUAAGUCGUGUGUGAAUGGCGCGGGCUCAACCCGCGGACGGCACAUGAUACUGCGAGACUAGAGUAAUGGAGGGGGAACCGGAAUUCUCGGUGUAGCAGUGAAAUGCGUAGAUAUCGAGAGGAACACUCGUGGCGAAGGCGGGUUCCUGGACAUUAACUGACGCUGAGGCACGAAGGCCAGGGGAGCGAAAGGGAUUAGAUACCCUUGUAGUC
rnacentral:rRNA from 1 species